GUAAGUUAGCACACAUGUACAGCAGGUAAUCGCAGUAAGUUAGCACACAGAUACAGCAGGUAAUCGCAGUAUGUUAGCACACAGGUACAGCAGGUAAUCGCAGUAAGUUAGCACACAGGUACAGCGGGUAAUCGCAGUAAGUUAGCACACAGGUACAGCAGGUAAUCGCAGUAAGUUAGCACACAGGUACAGCAGGUAAUCACAGUAAGCACACAGGUACAGUAAGUUAGCACAUAUGUACAGCAGGUAAUCGCAGUAAGUUAGCACACAGGUACAGCGGGUAAUCGCAGUAAGUUAGCACGCAGGUACAGCGGGUAAUCGCAGUAAGUUAGCACAGGUAAAGCAGGUAAUCAAAAAGACUAAUGAAAUGCUGGUCCUUAUUUCAGUGGGGUUGCAGUGUAAGAAUAGAGAAGUCUUACUACGGUUGUUCACGGUACUGGGGAGACCACAUCUGGAUUACCGCAAGCA